AGCGACGAAAUCGGACGCCAACGCGCCAACCCGCCAACUGCGAAGCUCUUGUUCGGAUGCGUGCUUCAACGCAACUCGGCUGCUAUGUGUGUAAAAUCUGGCUUGUUUUCCACGCCUCGAGAAAUUCCGUUUGCACUGGAGGCCUGGCUUUAGCAUCCGUCACGGACUUUACGGAGAGGUGGAGACAUACAUGAAUAAUGGCUUGUUCGACGGUGCCGCGGACGUCACCGGCGAUCUGAGAGGGCACUGCAAGGAGUGCGAAUGCAAUGGUUUUCAGCGCCUUGUUGAUCUGGCCAUGACAAAGUACCUAUUGGCUGGUGCAUUCUCUGUGGACACUCGCCUGCCUCACAUGGACCUCUCGUCAGCCUCUAAGAAGGUGCCCAAGACGGAUGUCUGCAGGAAGCUGGAUCUUGCAGUGCACCACAAUAGUCUUUUGCUAGACAAAUAUGUGG
rnacentral:lncRNA from 1 species